rnacentral:rRNA from 1 species
UAAUACGUAGGAUGCAAGCGUUGUCCGGAAUUAUUGGGCGUAAAGAGCGAGCAGGCGGUUACUCAAGUCAGAUGUAAAAUAUCCCGGCUUAACCGGGAGGGGCCAUUUGAAACUGGGUGACUAGAGUGAAGCAGAGGAUAGCGGAAUUCCCGGUGUAGUGGUGAAAUGCGUAGAUAUCGGGAGGAACACCAGUGGCGAAGGCGGCUAUCUGGGCUUUAACUGACGCUGAGGCGCGAAGGCUAGGGGAGCAAACAGGAUUAGAUACCCUGGUAGUCCUAGCAGUAAACGAUGAACACUAGGUGUUGGGGGAAAUUGACCCCCUCAGUGCCACAGCAAACGCAAUAAGUGUUCCGCCUGGGGAGUACGGUCGCAAGAUUA